rnacentral:rRNA from 1 species
CCUACGGGUGGCAGCAGUGAGGAAUAUUGGUCAAUGGACGAGAGUCUGAACCAGCCAAGUAGCGUGAAGGAUGACUGCCCUAUGGGUUGUAAACUUCUUUUAUAUGGGAAUAAAAUGUUCCACGUGUGGGAUUUUGUACGUACCAUUUGAAUAAGGAUCGGCUAACUCCGUGCCAGCAGCCGCGGUUAUACGGAGGAGCCGGGCGUUAUACGGGUUUAUUGGGGGUAAAGGGAGCGUAGGUGGAUUGGUAAGUCAGUUGUGAAAGUUUGCGGCGCAACCGUAAAAUUGCAGUUGAAACUGGGAGUCGUGAGUACAGUAGAGGUGAGCGGAAUUCGUGGUGUAGCGGUGAAAUGCUUAGAUAUCACGAAGAACUCCGAUUGCGAAGGCAGCUCACUGGACUGCAACUGACACUGAGGCUCGAAAGUGUGGGUAUCAAACAGGAUUAGAUACCCGGGUAGUC